UGAGGAAUAUUGGGCAAUGCCCGCAAGGGUGACCCAGCAACGCCGCGUGGAGGAUGAAUGUCGUAAGAUUGUAAACUCCUGUUAGAGGGGAAGAAUAGUACCGGUUGGACCGGUAUAUGACUGUACCCUCAGAGAAAGCCCCGGCUAACUACGUGCCAGCAGCAGCGGUAAUACGUAGGGGGCAAGCGUUGUCCGGAUUUACUGGGUGUAAAGGGCGCGCAGGCGGGAUAAAAAGUCAGUGGUGAAAUCCUACAGCUUAACUGUAGAACUGCCUUUGAUACUUUUAUUCUUGGGUUCGGGAGAGGGAGACGGAAUUCCAGGUGUAGUGGUGAAAUACGUAGAUAUCUGGAAGAACACCAGUUGCGAAGGCGGUCUCUUGGUCCGACACUGACGCUGAGGCGCGAAAGCGUGGGGAGCAAACA
rnacentral:rRNA from 1 species